rnacentral:rRNA from 1 species
UGGCUCAGAGUGAACGCUGGCGGCAGGCCUAAUACAUGCAAGUCGAACGGCAGCACAGCAGAGCUUGCUCUGUGGGUGGCGAGUGGCGGACGGGUGAGGAAUACGUGGGAAUCUGCCCAGUCGUGGGGGAUAACGUAGGGAAACUUACGCUAAUACCGCAUGCGCCCUUCGGGGGAAAGCCGGGGACCUUCGGGCCUGGCGCGAUUGGAUGAGCCCACGUCGGAUUAGCUAGUUGGCGGGGUAAAGGCCCACCAAGGCGACGAUCCGUAGCUGGUCUGAGAGGAUGAUCAGCCACACUGGAACUGAGACACGGUCCAGACUCCUACGGGAGGCAGCAGUAGGGAAUAUUGGACAAUGGGCGCAAGCCUGAUCCAGCCAUGCCGCGUGAGUGAAGAAGGCCCUCGGGUUGUAAAGCUCUUUUGUCCGGAAAGAAAAGCGCCGGGUUAAUACCCUGGUGUCCUGACGGUACCGGAAGAAUAAGCACCGGCUAACUUCGUG